rnacentral:rRNA from 1 species
CCUACGGGUGGCUGCAGUGGGGAAUAUUGGACAAUGGGGGGAACCCUGAUCCAGCCAUGCCGCGUGUGUGAAGAAGGCCCUCGGGUUGUAAAGCACUUUCAGUGAGGAAGAACGCCUGGUGGUUAAUACCCAUCAGUAAAGACAUCACUCACAGAAGCAGCACCGGCUAACUCCGUGCCAGCAGCCGCGGUAAUACGGAGGGUGCGAGCGUUAAUCGGAAUUACUGGGCGUAAAGCGCGCGUAGGUGGCUUGAUAAGCCGGUUGUGAAAGCCCCGGGCUCAACCUGGGAACGGCAUCCGGAACUGUCAAGCUAGAGUGCAGGAGGGGAAGGUAGAAUUCCCGGUGUAGCGGUGAAAUGCGUAGAGAUCGGGAGGAAUACCAGUGGCGAAGGCGGCCUUCUGGACUGACACUGACAUUGAGGUGCGAAAGCGUGGGUAGCAAACAGGAUUAGAUACCCUGGUAGUC